UAUGUAUUUUAUAUUUUGAUAUUUUUAAAUACUAUGCAUAAAAACCAUUUUAGGGCAGACAUUUCAAAACGGACAUAACUCCUGGAAUGAAAAAUUAUCACUUUUCUUUGAAUUCAUCCAAAACGGUGCUGAUAUUUGUCUACUCCUAAACUCCUUUUCUCCUUAUUACAAUACAUGUAACUGCCUGGUGGUUGUUUCUGGAUCCCUGGAGACUCAAGUCUUUGUUUUGUUUUUGUUUUGUUUUUAUUUUAAACGAUGUGCUGUUGGGUUCUUGUGCAUUUAUAUUGCCUCGUCUUGGUCAGAUAACCAUUGUUGUCAAAAGGGGUCUGGUGUCAACUAAUAUAAACUUUUCAAAGAUCUUCUCUGAAUCUAUACUACAUCAAUUUUUAUACAGCCAAAUUUGGCAGCCAGGAGUGAUCUUUAAAGCGUGUAGAAAUAUAGCCCAUUAUCAAACAAGUC
rnacentral:lncRNA from 1 species